AUACGGAGGAUGCGAGCGUUAUCCGGAUUUAUUGGGUUUAAAGGGUGCGUAGGCUGUGCGUUAAGUCAGGGGUGAAAUGCCGUCGCUCAACGACGGAGCUGCCCUUGAUACUGGCGUGCUGGAGUACGGAUGCCGUUGGAGGAAUGAGUGGUGUAGCGGUGAAAUGCUUAGAUAUCACUCAGAACACCGAUUGCGAAGGCGUCUGACGAAUCCGUCACUGACGCUGAUGCACGAAAGCGUGGGGAUAGAACAGGAUUAGAUACCCUGGUAUUCCACGCCGUAAACGAUGAUGACUAACCGUCGGCGAUAGACAGCCGGUGGCCAAGCGAAAGCGAUAAGUCAUCCACCUGGGGAGUACGUCGGCAACGAUGAAACUCAAAUGAAUUGACGGGG
rnacentral:rRNA from 1 species